AGAGUUUGAUCAUGGCUCAGAACGAACGCUGGCGGCAGGCCUAACACAUGCAAGUCGAACGCCGUAGCAAUACGGAGUGGCAGACGGGUGAGUAACGCGUGGGAACAUACCCCUCGGUUCGGAAUAACUCAGGGAAACUUGAGCUAAUACCGGAUACGUCCGAGGUUUUAAUCGACCUUGGAGAAAGAUUUAUCGCCGGAGGAUUGGCCCGCGUCUGAUUAGCUUGUUGGUGAGGUAAUGGCUCACCAAGGCGACGAUCAGUAGCUGGUCUGAGAGGAUGAUCAGCCACAUUGGGACUGAGACACGGCCCAAACUCCUACGGGAGGCAGCAGUGGGGAAUAUUGGACAAUGGGCGAAAGCCUGAUCCAGCCAUGCCGCGUGAGUGAUGAAGGCCUUAGGGUUGUAAAGCUCUUUUACCCGGGAAGAUAAUGACGGUACCGGGAGAAUAAGCCCCGGCUAACUUCGUGCCAGCAGCCGCGGUAAUACGAAGGGGGCUAGCGUUGUUCGGAAUUACUGGGCGUAAAGCGCACGUAGGCGGAUCCUUAAGUCAGGGGUGAAAUCCCGAGGCUCAACCUCGGAACUGCCUUUGAUACUGGGGAUAUCGAGUCCGGGAGAGGUGAGUGGAACUGCGAGUGUAGAGGUGAAAUUCGUAGAUAUUCGCAAGAACACCAGUGGCGAAGGCGGCUCACUGGCCCGGUACUGACGCUGAGGUGCGAAAGCGUGGGGAGCAAACAGGAUUAGAUACCCUGGUAGUCCACGCCGUAAACGAUGGAUGCUAGCCGUUAGACAGCUUGCUGUUUAGUGGCGCAGUUAACGCGUUAAGCAUCCCGCCUGGGGAGUACGGUCGCAAGAUUAAAACUCAAAGGAAUUGACGG
rnacentral:rRNA from 1 species